UACGGAGGAUCCAAGCGUUAUCCGGAUUUAUUGGGUUUAAAGGGUGCGUAGGCGGCUUAUUAAGUCAGGGGUGAAAGACGGUGGCUCAACCAUCGCAGUGCCCUUGAUACUGAUGAGCUUGAAUACACUUGAGGUAGGCGGAGUGUGACAAGUAGCGGUGAAAUGCAUAGAUAUGUCACAGAACACCAAUUGCGAAGGCAGCUUACUAAGGUGCAAUUGACGCUGAGGCACGAAAGCGUGGGGAUCAAACAGG
rnacentral:rRNA from 1 species